UUUCGUUCUCAACAUUGUUAACUCAGGUGACCAUUGAAGACCAUCCACAUCUUCCUGGGAAACAUGCUUCUGUGCAUCCUUGCCGACACGGGGCUGUGAUGAAGAAAAUUAUUGAUGUUUUGAUGUUGAGAGGAGUUGAACCCGAAGUUGACAAGUAUCUUUUCCUGUUCUUGAAGUUUGUGGCUUCGGUCAUUCCAACAAUUGAAUAUGAUUAUACCAUGGACUUUGAUCUUGGUAGCAGUAGCACCUGAUUUGCAGUCAACUUCCUUCGAUAGAUGCUGCACAUAACAUGUCAAGUCAGUCAAAUACUCUGAUGAUGAUGCCUAUGUUGGUGUGACGAGCAAUAAUUGUACAGUGUUUAUAGACGUUGUUCUAGAAAUGUGAAGCAUGCAUGAUGAAUUAUCAGCAUGCCUUGUUUAUUUUGUAUAUUAACAAGAAUUUAGGUCAUUCAAGUUAGCACGAUCCACUUGAAGGCUGAAAUUGUGUAUUAAUGAAAGUUAACCGGAUGAAAGCUACAAAAAUGAUAAGUGAUGGUGUUUUGUUUUCUGUAUCAAAUGUCUAGGGUUUGCACUAAAUCUCCAUUUUACUAUUCCUCUUCAUGUUUCAACAAGGUUGUUUUAAUAAAAUUAGUGUCUGAAAUUAGAUACUUAGGUGAAAGCCAUUGCAAAUUCUA